AAUUCGUUUUUUUAUUCAUACGUGCAAAUUGGUUGUGCUUGAAUUAUAAGAGUUACCUUAAGUGUAUGUUGUAAAUUAGAAUGCAGAAUUCGAUCCCACACGUAUUUGUUCAUGUUUAAAAUCAACUGUUGAUGUCACAUGAUAAUUGAUAUUUAAAAGGAGGAAUUACUCCUCUGGCAAGAAAAUAAACGUUUUCCCUAACUGCUGCCAGCUAAAGCCAAAUAUACAAAUUUUUCGAACGUAAUGUUCCUUUUUCUUUUAAAUACCAAUAAAAGGUGUUACA
rnacentral:sRNA from 1 species